AUUACUAAAGAACUUAUUCUUGUAACCAAACACCACCUGUUCCCCAAAAACCUAUUUAAAUUAAAAAAAAUAGAGCUGUUUAAUAUAACAAAUGUAGAAUGAAUGCAAAGAGAAAAUGAAUGCCUCUUGGGUACCAGCUGUGUGGCAAGCACUGUGCUGGCCCUUCAUGGCAACUAUGAGGAAACUGAGGUUGAAGACAUUGUAUCUCUUGUUUAAGAUCUCACAGUACCAAUUGACAGUUCUAGGAUUUGUUCUAUUCCAGAGCCUACAAGUUUUCCACCAAUCUAUGUUCCCUCCCUCAGCAUAAUUAAUAAUUGUUAUACUAUAAGGCUAAACUAAAUUUAUAUCAAGAUGUCCCAGAGAGUUAUAUCUUAUUUGUUAACCAUUAACUUUUCCCAAUCAGACACUUAAUGCAGCACUAGUUCCAUCUUAAGACUAGAACAGAACACCAUGGAUGAUGAUUUUGAACCUCUUUUGGCCAGAAAUGUGCCCAGAGUUCUAAACCUUGGACAGCUUUGCAUCAAGACCUUUGGAGGCAGCUUUCACCUACUCAUAUACGUGAUUCACCAUCUCCAUGGGGCCCUCUUUUCUUGAUUAUUAGGUCUGACUUUAUUUACAGCUGAAAUGUGAUUCCCUUUUAUGAAGAUCAUUUUUUAUUCCAAAAAAGACCUUGGGUAUUAUGUCCUGUUCUCAUGGUCAGAAAUCUGAAUGCUUCAAUAUACUGCAUUUUGCUUUUCUUUCAUAGCCAAAUAAAAGAGAAAGACCACAGUUAUACAUAGUGUGUCAGUCUGGCUCACUCAGAUUAUGUUUGUAAAAUUCCUUUUUCUAUAGAGCUAAUAUUUACUCAGCACUGAUGUCCCAGGCACCAUAUGGUAUCCCAGGGACCAUACUAAGCCCUUUCUAUGGAUGGUCUCUCUUAAGACUCAGAAUAACCUUUUGUUUAUAAACUGUCACAUAGGAGGGUCAAACAACUCAGCCUGGUUCAUACUGCCAUCAAAAAGCAAAGCUGAGCUUCGAACCCAGGCUGUGUGUGCAAAUCCCUGAGCUUUCAAACCACUGUGCAUGCUGUCUCCCAACUCUUUGUUUUUUCUGUGCCUUUCUCUAGCCAGGAGGUUUUUCUCCACCUGCCCAUUUAUCUUCCAUAAUUCUUGCUCUUGGGACAGAUGAUUUCCAAGGUCCCUUCAAGUAUUGAAAUUCCAUGACUGAUUAAAAAUUAUAAUGUAUGCAGUUUGAUUAAUUUGCACUAAUGCCUGAGUUCAUUCACAAUGUUAAUUUCUUUACAAGGUUCCAACAGUUUUUUAACUUACAGAUCUCCUUCUGAUGUUAAAGGAAUCAUGCUGCUUUUCCUAUAAUAAUAUUUAAGUCCCCAGUUUUAAAAACAUAAGGUUUAAAAAUAUAUCUGAAAGGAUUUUACCAUGCAUGCAACACACCAAUUUUCCAUAUGGACCAAAAUAGUCUUUUUAAGACCCUGUUCUCUCAGUUGUCUUUCCCAAGUCUCACAGAUGCAGUGCUAAUUGCAUGCAGCUUCAGGUCCUUUAUAACAUGAGGUAACAAUUUCAGUGUCUUGGGCUUGAAUGCUGCAUUUGUUAGACAUGCCAGGCCUGGAAUUGGUGUCAGCUCGUCAGGAUGCUGAAUCCACAUGGAGAGCAACUCAUCUGAACGUUGGGAAGCUUCCUGGAGAAACUCCUGUUGUGCUCCUCUCAGGCAUGGCGUGAGAGCCAGUGGUGUGACUGGUUCCUUAGCUAGGAUGCAUCUUGGUCAGACUUGGCAGCACUGGGUGAUGGCUCUUUGGGACCAGUGCAGGUAUUUGAGUCUCUCUAGUCAAGUUGUACUUGUUGAAGAAUGAUUCCAGAAGUGACGUUUAUUCACAGACCUACUACUUGGGCUACUUGGGCUAGCUCCAAGUGUCUGAGUGGCUCGGCGGCUGAAGGCAGACUGCACUUGGGACACAUCUAAAAUUCAUUCUGACUGGAUUGAGAAAACAAGGAGACCAAAAAGAAAAGAAGUGGCAGGAUUCUGCAAUCACAUCUGUAACUGAGGAGCCACGGGAUAUAACUUUGGAGAAUAUCUUGACCUGAUCUUGCUUUGCAGCUUGUCUGUAGUUCUAGUCUUUAGAGUCGCGGAAGCCUGAGUUCCCACCAAGCUCAGCUCUUAAUGGCUGUGUGAUAAUGAAGACGUCACUUGAUCUUCCUGAGCCUCAGUUUCUUCAUCUGUAAAUUGGGAUGAGAUACCUCCCUCAUGGGUCUGUUGUGAGGACAACAUGUGAUGAUCCUGCCAAAGCUCUCUAGGCACUCUGUGCUUAGCUGUGUGGCCAAUGCACAGUCAGCAGCGACACGAUGCUAUUUUUACUGCCUUCUUUCCCUCUUUCCCCAAGAGGACACACUCCUCUAGAAAAAUAAGGUUCAUGCAAACCUGCACUUUAAGAGCAUUUAUACAGAUGUGCACGAUGCAGUGCAUGUGUCUUGAUGGGGCUUUGUUAAAUUGAAUUUUAAAAUUGUGUUUUAAAUAUACUUAGGGAAGUACAGAAAGGUACCCCAGAACAGGUUGUUUUAUAAAGACAACAAUAAUUUCUGAAUUAUUUUCAUUUCAGCUUUUUAUAUACUGUGUAGUCACAAAAUGAGAGACCCUCCCCCACUCACCCCACCCUCACAGCUCCCCAGAGGAACAAUAGCCAUGAGCAAACAGUGCUUGCCUCCUGACCUUCGGGUGUUUCUCCUAAAGGCUAGCUCAUUUAAGGGCAGCAGUCAGGGGCUUGCUACUCUUCGCAGCCCUGUUUCUUUUCUUGUGAUGAGAAGAAACAAGCCCAGGCUGACAGCUGGCCAAGACUUGAACUAGAAUGUUGAAGUUGAAAAGUCAAAAUGGGUCUGUGUCAAAGGACUAGCAGAGGGGAAGGGACUGUCCUCCGGGGAGCUGAGGAGUGAGGAUGGUCCUCACCUCGAUCCAGCGAUCAAAUUCCCCAAGUAAAUCCAUGUAAAACAUGAACUGUGGCCAGCACUUGUUAAGCAAGGAAUAUUAAAAAUCAUUGUCAUUACUGCUGCUAUUAUUGUUACAGGCUUGUUCCAAGACUCUGGGUUUUGGCUCAGCUUGUCUAAAUGGUCUUCCAUCUUAAGGAAUCAAGGGGUAGAUUUUGGAACCACUAGCUCCAUAGCCAAAGAAGGAGCAAUCCAGCAACUUAGGCAUUGAUUCCGCAAGCCGUCCCAGAGCCUCUGUGUAGUCCUUACUUUCCCUAAAUUGCCAUGACUAGCUGGCUCAAGUUAGGCCUUUCUAAUUUACCUGGACCGUUGCUGUCUCCUGUGCACGGCUGCGGGGAUGAGCACCUUGUUGUGCGUUCCUCCGCUGGGCUGACGGAAAUGGUUUGCAGCCAGACUGCUACGCCACGCGGUCUGGCAUUUAGUCCUCAGAAAUCUGAUUUAGAGAACGUAUACAUUGCAUCACAAUCUAGAUUUCAGAGGAAAGUUUUGGAUAGAAUAACCCAGACCCAAGUCUGGGUAAUUUAAAGCCUGGGUGAAAUGGGGCAGAAAGAGCCCAGAAUAUACAGGCUAGAGAAACUCAGGAACUACUGACCCACAGGGAAGGCAAGCGGAGAUAUGAGACGGAGGAAUCAAACGCUGCCCUGGUGGAGGACGCUGUGGGUUUACAGUGGAUGAUUUCCUCUGCCUAUGAGAUAAAAGGGCUGGCUCUGUACUUUGAACCCCAGCCUCACCCACCUCUGCCUGGGUGUGGCUCUUACUCUCUGGAAGACUUACUCAGGGGAGAGGACAGGACAGUGUGAGGCUUGAAUCUCCAGGAAAUAGAGUCUGUGGGCAGCCAUUGACUCCGAGUCAAUGAGAACAAGGUGUGCUGUUUCCUCUGUGCUGUUUCUUCCCUGCCCCACUCCCCGCCCCUUUGUCCUAUGGUGCCCAGGCUGCCUGCACUGCCCAGAUACCACAGGCCUUGCCAGGGACCUCCUGAGAGGUUUCUGAGGCUUGCAGCCAGUGGUCCCGUUAGUCUGCACGUCUCCGAGUUGCCCUCCCAGAGGAGAAAGCAUAUGCUGCUGGGACCGACUGCAGCUCCUCAUGGAUGCACCUGCCACCAGAAAAUUGUUGUUCAGUCUGGGAUUGCUUUCUCUUCCCAAAGCACAAUCUCACAUGCAGUCAUGAGCCCAGUCCAGCCUCUGGGACAGAAGAUUUCGUGCUUUUAUAAACCAACAGCACUGCAGGUGCUGCACAAGGAAUGGAAAAUCAAUCUGAGUGUCAUUAAGAGCAUACUCCCUGAAGAAGAUUGCUGAUGACAGUGGAUUUGUCACCCAGCUCAGUGUCUUUUCCUGAGCAAUAGGAAUUUCUUCCAUGGGGAAUGAAACCUAGUGUUGUUUCCCUGUCUGAAUCCAGGCCUUUCACUGACCUGCCAAGUUUUCAUUCCAUUGUCUCACUGUCAUUGGCUGAUCUGAUCUCUACAUUGAUUAAUUAGUUUCAAGCCCCUUCAUACUGAUCUAAUAAAAUUGGCUUGUUUAAUUUGUGUCAGGAAAUUUCUGAGAAUGUUUCAUUUAGACUCUGAUAAGGUACAUUUUUUUUUUAAUGUCCUGCCGGAGACAUCCCUUACGAGGGAGAGCUUGUCCUUCCUGCCAUCUCUUGAAUUACGCAGAGCAAACGCUGAAAGGAUGGCGGGAUUUCCUGCUGCCAGGGUCAAAUGCUUCCACAACAAGCAGAUCUGUCUUUCAGGGUGCAGUUUUUUAUGUCCUCUCACCAGAAACACAUGAGAAUGCCAUCUUUCCACCUCUAGAGGUUGUCUGAGCUGCUGGUAAGCAUCAAAACAUAGCCAUCGAGAGCCAGGACAGAGCCACGGCCACUUCACCAGCUCCAGUCUCAUGCCACUUGAUUUAUAAAUGCCUUUUUUUUAAUGGGCUGUCAUCCCCUCAGGAGAGGUUGGAGUAAAAGUCUCAAAGUUGAGUGUUUGCUCUUCUGUCACAAAGAGAAAUGGAUGGGAAGAACAAUACAAAUGGCCUACAGGCGAGCAGGGGACUCUGCAGAGCCGAGCCCCAUCCUGGUCUGAUUCAGGCACUCAGUAAGCCUGAAUGGGGCGCGGUUACUGGGGCGUGGUUACCCGCUGGCUGGGAUGAGAAUUCUCAUAACUACUUUCCCAGUCGGCAACUGCCAGGAUGCAGGGAGCUUGUUUAGUUAACACUAUGAGACCACUGGAUCCAACUAAUCUCUAUUUGCCUGUCUCCCCUAAGAUAACUUUCAUAAAAAUGUGUAAACAUGUUCUGAGAGUCUUCUGAAAAUUCCCUCAAAGCCCCCUGACCGCCUGCCCUCUAGCUGGGGCUGUGGGGGCGGUGGCUGAGGCGCCCCCCUCCGUGGGAGGCUCCUCAUACAUCUCUGUCAGGAAAGGCAAGAGCCGCAGCCAGAAAUGAGCUCCCCCAACAAAGCAGCCUCCCUGUGUGCUGCUGUGCAAGCUGCAGCAUUUGGCUGAUUCAUUUGUCUUCAUUAAUGUUGCUUAUAGCGGAGGCCUUUGUCACAUAUAUGAUUAUGUGAGAUUCGAUUCUCUCGAAUGUGUAAACACAGAGCUCUAGUGCGAGGCUCCAAGCAGGCAGCAGCCUGAAGCAGCUUUUCUGGCUGUUGGGGAGCCGGCUUAUGUGAUCAGCCCCUAGGGAUGGGGCCGUACUGUCAGGGACUGGUUCUUGCAGUGAUAAGGGAAGAGCUGCCUGGCUCUUCCGCCCCAGGCCUCAGGGCUUGCCUCUCCCUCCAGUCCCCUCAUAGAGUAUAUCCUCCCCCAUGCCUCCUUCCCCUCCACGCCACAUGCCCCAGGCUCCCUGAACAUUACCACCUUAAUGUCUCCUAGCUUCGUUUCUUCCUGCCUCCCCUUCCAGGGUCCCACCUUCAUCUCAGGCCUUCAUCAUCCCGAGGCUGGAUUCCUGCAACAGCUUCUUAAUCAUACUCCCUCCCUCCGGUCUUGUUUCCCUCCAACCUGUUUGACACCCUGCUGAUAUCUUAAUCUCUAAAAUGCAUAUCAGUUUGGGUUGUUCCCCUUCUCUAGGAAAAGGUCAAACUGUUUAAUAGAAUGGUCUAGGAGGCUCUUUAGGACUAGGCUCCCAGAACCAUUUCAAGCAUCAGCCCACCAAUGUGCUCAUUCUCCUACCCCUCUCUUCCUCCCUGUUUUGGGGUUAUACUUUGCCACAGGGUUCCAAAACAAUUCUAAUUCAUGCCUCAUAUCUUAGGCCUUUUAGAUAAAGCAAUUUUUAAGAUUUUGAAUUUACCCACUCCACUAUUUCUCAGAUUAAAAUGAGAACUUGGGAGGCCGGACCAAGUGAAAUGUCCAUGUCACUGUUUUACUAGGCAUCAUUCUGCAGGUUUCUUUUUGAGCUGUCCUACUCAGGCCACUUUAGUGCAGGAAAAAGAAGUCAUUACCAGAGGAAAGAAGGAAGGGACGCUUAUUGAAGGAUGUGCACGUGUGGAACCCAGAGAAGUCUGGCUUCAGGAAGGGCGAAACCAGGACAAUACUAGAGCCCGGCUGCACCCCGUGGCCUCUUUGCCUCUUUCUGUCCUCCUUGCUUUCUCGUGACCAGCAUCCUCUGUUUACUCAUCUUGUACACAACCCAGAAUAGCAGCCACAUGCCAGGGUCUACAUGAACUUCUGAAUUAGCACCCACCACCCACUACGGCUUCCUAUUUUCUAAGAAUGUAAUGGUGCCGAGUCAUCUCUCUGUGGAUUGGUUGUCCUUGGCUCAGAACUCCUUCCCACUCUCUUCCCCCAUAGCUUGGACCCAAGCUGGGGGCCACAGGGGUCUCCUGCCUUCUUAUUAGGCUGGGAGUGGGGCAGCUUCUCAAUGAGAGGCUACAGUGGUUUGCCGGGGCUGAUGUAACAAAGUACCACACACUAGGUGGCUUGAACAGCAGAAAUCUAUUGUCUCAGUUCUGGAGGUUAGAAGUCCAAAAUCAAGGUGUCAGCAGGAAUGCAGUCUUUCUGUUUUGUAAGACUUGUAGGGAAAGAUCAUUUAUACCAAGGAUUGGUCUAUAACCCUGAAAGCAAAUGUGAAUGUGGUCAAUAAUAACUACACUGGGCAGAUCAUACUGUACACCACUGUUGUGCAUUGUCAAAACAUUUUCACAUACAUUGUUUUAUUUGAUCCUAGCAAUAACUCUGUGAAGUAGGAAAAGUAGAGUUUUGCUGUAUUCUCUAUGCCUCCAUUUCUUCAUCUGUGAAAAGAGGAUAGUAAUGAUACCUACUCAGAGGAUCGUUGCAUGAGUCAAACGCAUUAAUACUGUAAAGCACUGGCACCCAGACCCACAGCAGAGCUGAGGCUGGCCCUCAUGGCUCAGGGGUGGGCAGACCAAAUGUGAAGCCAGAAAGGAGGUACCUCUCCAUUCCUGUCCCCUAGUCCUGUCUUAAUAUCCUAAGGUUACUUGGCUAAAGGCUCGUAUAAUGCUAUUUCUUUAAACUGUGUUUUCACUUAUUUUAUUUCCUGUCAAAGCUACAGGCAUACCUUGUCUUACUGCCCUUUACUUUAUUGCCGUACACAGAUAUUGCUCGCUUUCUCUCUCUUUCCUUCCUUCCUUCUUUCUUUCUUUCUCUUU
rnacentral:lncRNA from 1 species